GAGCCCGCACAAGCAGUGGAGUAUGUGGUUUAAUUCGACGCAACGCGAAGAACCUUACCAGGACUUGACAUCCACCGAACCCGGCGUAACGGCUGGGGUGCCCCUUCGGGGGAGCGGUGAGACAGGUGGUGCAUGGUUGUCGUCAGCUCGUGUCGUGAGAUGUUGGGUUAAGUCCCGCAACGAGCGCAACCCUUACCGUCAGUUGCUACGAAAGAGCACUCUGGCGGGACUGCCGUUGACAAAACGGAGGAAGGUGGGGAUGAUGUCAAAUCAUCAUGCCCCUUACGUUCUGGGCUACACACGUACUACAAUGGCGAAAACAAAGGGGAGCGAAGCCGCGAGGCGGAGCAAAUCCCAAAAAAAUCGUCCCAGUUCAGAUUGCAGGCUGAAACCCGCCUGCAUGAAGUUGGAAUUGCUAGUAAUCGCGGGUCAGCAUACCG
rnacentral:rRNA from 1 species